rnacentral:rRNA from 1 species
UACAGAGGUCUCAAGCGUUGUUCGGAUUCAUUGGGCGUAAAGGGUGCGUAGGCGGCGCGGUAAGCCGGGUGUGAAAUCUCGGGGCUUAACUCCGAAACUGCAUUCGAUACUGCCGUGCUUGAGGACUGGAGAGGAGACUGGAAUUUACGGUGUAGCGGUGAAAUGCGUAGAUAUCGUAAGGAAGACCAGUGGCGAAGGCGGGUCUCUGGACAGUUCCUGACGCUGAGGCACGAAGGUCAGGGGAGCAAACGGG